rnacentral:rRNA from 1 species
UGAACGCUAGCGAUAGGCCUAACACAUGCAAGUCGAGGGGCAGCACAUGAGUAGCAAUACGAUGGUGGCGACCGGCGCACGGGUGAGUAACACGUAUGCAACCUACCUUUAACAGGGGAAUAACCCGUUGAAAAACGGACUAAUACUCCAUAACGACAGGGGUCCCGCAUGGGAAUAUUUGUUAAAGAUUAAUCGGUUGAAGAUGGGCAUGCGUUCCAUUAGCUUGUUGGUGAGGUAACGGCUCACCAAGGCCACGAUGGAUAGGGGAACUGAGAGGUUUAUCCCCCACACUGGAACUGAGACACGGUCCAGACUCCUACGGGAGGCAGCAGUGAGGAAUAUUGGUCAAUGGAGGCAACUCUGAACCAGCCAAGUCGCGUGAAAGGAUGAAGGUCUUAUGGAUUGUAAACUUCUUUUGCAAGGGAAUAAAGUGGGGGACGUGUCCUCCUUUGCAUGUACCUUGCGAAUAAGGAUCGGCUAACUCCGUGCCAGCAGCGGC